CCAGACUCCUACGGGAGGCAGCAGUGGGGGAUAUUGCACAAUGGGCGAAAGCCUGAUGCAGCGACGCCGCGUGUGGGAAGACGGUCCUCGGAUUGUAAACCACUGGCUUUGGGGACGAUAAUGACGGUACCCAAGGAGGAAGCUCCGGCUGACUACGUGCCAGCAGCCGCGGUAAUACGUAGGUGGCAAGCGUUAUCCGGAUUUACUGGGUGUAAAGGGCGUGUAGGCGGGAAAGCAAGUCAGAUGUGAAAACCAUGGGCUCAACCUGUGGCCUGCAUUUGAAACUGUUUUUCUUGAGUACUGGAGAGGCAGACGGAAUUCCUAGUGUAGCGGUGAAAUGCGUAGAUAUUAGGAGGAACACCAGUGGCGAAGGCGGUCUGCUGGACAGCAACUGACGCUGAGGCGCGAAAGCGUGGGGAGCAAACAGGAUUAGAUACCCUCGUAU
rnacentral:rRNA from 1 species